AGUAAUGCAUCGGAACGCGUCCUGUAGUGGGGGACAACCCCGAGAAAUCGGGGCUAAUACCGCAUACGAUCUGCGGAUGAAAGUGGGGACCGCAAGGCCUCACGCUAUAGGAGCGGCCGAUGCCGGAUUAGCUAGUUGGUGGGGUAAAGGCCCACCAAGGCGACGAUCCGUAGCUGGUCUGAGAGGAUGAUCAGCCACAUUGGGACUGAGACACGGCCCAA
rnacentral:rRNA from 1 species